GAAGAGAGAAGGAUUACACCCAAGAUGGCACAGUGGACCUCAAUGGCAAACCAGUUUUAAGAUCAAAUACUGGAAGGUGGAGAGCUUGUUCCUUCAUUGUAGGGUACGAAAUGAUUGAAAGAAUGGCAUACUAUGGGAUAGCAUCAAAUCUAGUAUUGUAUCUAACAAAGAAGCUUCAUGAGGGCACUGUCAAAUCUUCAAAUCACGUGACCAACUGGG
rnacentral:sRNA from 1 species